ensembl:lncRNA
UAGCAGAGCUCCUUAUUUUUUGAUCCCCGCCUCCCAAGCGCCGCCCCAGCCCGCAUUCCCUGCUGGAGUUCGCCCGACACAGGCCAAAAUAGGCCGUGAGAGGCCAAACGAAUUCCUGAGAACUAAGGCCGUUGCGGACCAAACACCCACCUGAACGAUCCUAACCUGAGGUCGUGUCUACGAGGACAGAGGCAGGCUGAGCGCCAAACCACCCCCAACCCAAGAAUUCGUGUAAAGUCGCAAUCCCAGGAGACAAGGAGCCCUCGGUAGCCAUGAAGGAUGAGAUCUGAGCUAAAUCCCAGUAUUGCGGGGGGCGAAAUAAUAUCUUCCAAAUGAGGCAAAACCGUGACGGAUCCGAAGCGUUCUCUGCGGGUGCCUGCGUCUCGGCGGCCGAGGCUUCCGUCUCCGCCUCAGCGCUUUUCUACCCACCACUUGCCUUCAUCUCUGCCUUGGAAUUUCUAGUUCUUUCCUUCGGUCUCCCUGGGUUGCUAGCACUGGCUUCGUGUUCGGCACUCGUAGGGAUCGCUCCCUCUUUCUCCCCUGCAGCUCUCUCCUCCUGCCUCAGAUCUCGUCUCCCCUAAGGCUUAAGUGUCUGUCGCCUUACAAACACCCUCUACAAACUUUCCGAUCCUCCCACGGGGUCCCAGACUGCAGGACCGCAAACGCAGAGGAGGUCCCGGGAGCUGACGGCCCGCGCCCUCCCAUCCCCGCCCGGCCCGGGGGCCCCUCCCGGCUGCACCCCACCAGCCCCGCCCGCUCGCACCUGGUCUCCCUGGCCCGCGCUGCCGCUGCUGCUGCCAUCUACGCGCGUCCCGGCUGGAGCUGGAGUUUUAAACCGCGUUUCCCGGGCGCAAGGCGCGGGGCCGCGCGCUCCCUACUGGCCCCCGUGGCUGCCAAUCACACGCCACUCUCGCCCCGGCCCCGCCCAGCCCCUCUGGAGUCAGCAGCUCAAGGCCUAGGCAGCCUGGGUCAAACCUUUAGAGGAACUAGGGACCCCGCCUGCGUCCAUCAUUUCCCCGAGAACGUCGUUCGGUCGUUGCUGGCUCCGAGUCUCGGGAUCUUGGGCGGUAAAGCCGCAGGUCAAUCCUGGUGGAGUUGACGAGUACUGAGAAACCUUCACCUAGGUCUCCCUGGUCUCCCUUGACCUUGGGGUGUUCUGCGGUCUUUAAGGGGCGCUUUGUCUCCCACCCAAGCUGUCACAACAAG